CCGGAUGCCGAUCUCGAAAACCUGUCCCAGUUCGGACUGGAGUCUGCAACCCGACUCCACGAAGUUGGAUUCGCUAGUAAUCGCGCAUCAGCCAUGGCGCGGUGAAUACGUUCCCGGGCCUUGUACACACCGCCCGUCAAGCCAUGGGAGCCGGGGGCGCCUGAAGUCCGGGACCGCGAGGACCGGCCUAGGGCGAAACUGGUGACUGGGGCUAAGUCGUAACAAGGUAUC
rnacentral:rRNA from 1 species